UACGUAGGGUGCAAGCGUUGUCCGGAAUUAUUGGGCGUAAAGAGCUCGUAGGCGGUUUGUCGCGUCUGCUGUGAAAACCUAGGGCUUAACCCUGGGCCUGCAGUGGGUACGGGCAGACUAGAGUGCGGUAGGGGAGACUGGAAUUCCUGGUGUAGCGGUGAAAUGCGCAGAUAUCAGGAGGAACACCGGUGGCGAAGGCGGGUCUCUGGGCCGUAACUGACGCUCAGGCGCGACAGCGUGGGGAUCAAAAGGG
rnacentral:rRNA from 1 species